rnacentral:rRNA from 1 species
AGAGUUUGAUCCUGGCUCAGGAUGAACGCUGGCGGCGUGCCUAAUACAUGCAAGUCGAACGCUUCACUUCGGUGAAGAGUGGCGAACGGGUGAGUAAUACAUAAGUAACCUGGCAUCUACAGGGGGAUAACUGAUGGAAACGUCAGCUAAGACCGCAUAGGUGUAGAGAUCGCAUGAACUCUAUAUGAAAAGUGCUACGGGACUGGUAGAUGAUGGACUUAUGGCGCAUUAGCUGGUUGGUAGGGUAACGGCCUACCAAGGCGACGAUGCGUAGCCGACCUGAGAGGGUGACCGGCCACACUGGGACUGAGACACGGCCCAGACUCCUACGGGAGGCAGCAGUAGGGAAUUUUCGGCAAUGGGGGAAACCCUGACCGAGCAACGCCGCGUGAAGGAAGAAGUAAUUCGUUAUGUAAACUUCUGUCAUAGAGGAAGAACGGUGGAUAUAGGGAAUGAUAUCCAAGUGACGGUACUCUAUAAGAAAGCCACGGCUAACUACGUGCCAGCAGCCGCGGUAAUACGUAGGUGGCGAGCGUUAUCCGGAAUUAUUGGGCGUAAAGAGGGAGCAGGCGGCACUAAGGGUCUGUGGUGAAAGAUCGAAGCUUAACUUCGGUAAGCCAUGGAAACCGUAGAGCUAGAGUGUGUGAGAGGAUCGUGGAACUCCAUGUGUAGCGGUG